GACGAACGCUGGCGGCGUGCUUAACACACGCAAGUCGAACGGAAAGGCCUUUUCGGAGGUACUCGAGUGGCGAACGGGUGAGUAACACGUGGGUGAUCUGCCCUGCACUCUGGGAUAAGCCUGGGAAACUGGGUCUAAUACCGGAUAGGACCGCACUUUAGUGUGUGUGGUGGAAAGUAUUUUCGGUGUAGGAUGAGCCCGCGGCCUAUCAGCUUGUUGGUGGGGUAAUGGCCUACCAAGGCGGCGACGGGUAGCCGGACUGAGAGGUUGGUCGGCCACAUUGGGUCUGAGCUACGGCCCGGACUCCUACGGGAGGCAGCAGUGGGGAAUAUUGCACAAUGGGCGCAAGCCUGAUGCAGCGACGCCGCGUGGGGGAUGACGGCCUUCGGGUUGUAAGCUCCUUUCGCCAGGGACGAAGCGUUUUGUGACGGUACCUGGAGAAGAAGCACCGGCUAACUACGUG
rnacentral:rRNA from 1 species